UGGCUCAGACGGUAAAGCGUCUGCCUAUAAUGCAGGAGAGCCAGGUUCGAUCCCUGG
rnacentral:tRNA from 1 species